AAGCAAGCAGGUGUCCUUGGGUAAACUGUCUGUUCUGGGAAUAACACAGUAAAGGAAGGGAACUAUGCAGCCUGGAAAUACCCCAGUCAAAAGGGAGAA